AUGCCCGGCGACGCCUCCUCGCCCACCUCCACGGCCGCCGCGGCGCUGGCGCAGGCGGAGGCCGACCUCUCCGCGGGCCGCCUCCGCGCCGCGCAGAGGAACGCCCGCCGCGCCGCCCGCCUCGACCCGGACUCCGCGGCCGCCUCCGUCCUCCUCGCCGCCACCUCCGUCCUCCUCGCCGACGCCGGCUCCCCCCGCGCCACGCUCCUCCUCCCCGAGGACCCCAAGUCCUCCCUCGCCAGCGACCCGGACUCCAUCCGGCGCCACUACAAGUCCCUCGCCAGAUCCCUCCGCCCCGGCGACGGCGCGUCCUCCUACCCCGCCGCCGCCGCCGCGGCGCAGGAGGCGCUCCGCCGCGCGGCCGACGCGUACGCCGCGCUCAAGGAGGAGCGGGAGGCGCCGCCCCCACCGCCCACCUUCUGGACGGCCUGCGCCGGCUGCCGCCUCCUCCACGAGUUCGACCGCCAGUACGUGGGCUUCCGCCUCACCUGCCCCUCCUGCCGCCGGUCGUUCCUCGCCGCCGAGGUGCCCCCUCCUCCGCCGCCCAAGAAGCACAAGCCGGAGAAGACGCUCGCGGAGAUGCAGCUCCAGCUCGCCAAGAGAAGAGGGAAAGACCAGACGGCCGCACAGAGCUCAUCCAGUGACGAAUAUGACGAGCCGGCGGAACCCGAUGUGCCGGAGGAGGUGCUGGAUAGCGAGCACUCAGGGCAGAUGGCUGUGGAGGACUCAGACUUCUACAACUUCGACGCUGACCGCAUGGAGAAGUGCUUCAAGAGAGGCCAGGUGUGGGCAUUGUAUGGGGACGACGAUGGCAUGCCGCGGCACUAUGCGCAGUUGGAGACGGCAUCGCCGGGCAGGCAGUUCCGUGCCCAGAUACGGUGGCUGGAGCACCAGCCUGACGGGAAGGAGGGGAAGCCAUGUGGGGCGUUCAAGGUUGGCAGAGAAGUGACCGUGCACUCGGUGAACGUCUUCUCGCAUCUUGUUGCCUGCGAGAGGGUGGCGAGGGAGGCGUACCGCGUUUACCCCAAAAAGGGGUCAGUCUGGGCGCUCCAUGCCGGAGAGUACGCCGACACCGGGAGGCCCAGGUAUGACUUUGUGGUGUUCCUCAGCGGGUACAGUGAGGUCCACGGCAUCAGCUUCGGCUACCUGGAGAAGAUUGAGGGUUUCAGGAGCAUCUUCACCCGCAGCGACAUUGGUGUUCGUGCAGUUCAGUACCUCCGGGAGGGUGAUGUGGGGAUGCUUUCACAUCAGACUCCGGCGAGGAAAGUCUCCAAGGGUGAGGCCUCGACUCUGCCUCCUGGGGAUUGCUGGGAGCUUGACCCUGCAUCCUUGCCUGCUGAAUUGCUGCAUGCCUAG
rnacentral:rRNA from 1 species